rnacentral:lncRNA from 1 species
GGGGGCAGCAAUCCAUCAACGGGUUGUCAGAUUUGUCUGAAAAUUCCUGGGCAGAUAGAUCUUCACUGAAGAGACAAUUUCACCCUUUGUCAGAUUUGCUCUAAAUGCUUUGGUUUCAGAGUUAUAAGCCAAAAUCUACAUUUUACCUGUAUGUUCUAUUUUUGGCCAUAGUGGCCAUCUCGGUUGGUUGACCGGGUCUAACCACACAUUUUUUAAAUUAGAUACCGCAAUGAUGAUUUUGGCUAAGUUUGGUU